UACAGAGGUCUCAAGCGUUUGUUCGGAUUCAUUGGGCGUAAAGGGUGCGUAGGCGGCGCGGUAAGUCGGGUGUGAAAUCUUGGAGCUUAACUCCGAAACUGCAUUCGAUACUGCGUGCUUGAGGACUGGAGAGGAGACUGGAAUUCAUGGUGUAGCAGUGAAAUGCGUAGAGAUCAUGAGGAAGACCAGUGGCGAAGGCGGGUCUCUGGGACGGUACUGACGCUGAGACGCGAAAGCGUGGGGAGCGAACAGG
rnacentral:rRNA from 1 species